rnacentral:lncRNA from 1 species
CUGUUCCCCUCUUUUCCCCAGUGGUUUGCUCCAAUUUCUCAGAACAGCAUCCUUGCCACUAAACCUCAAGAUUGGCCUGUUCCUGUCUCACAAAUUAUUAGGCCCUCUAUACUUUUUACCCUUACCUCUAGUUAUCUAGCUAGUAACCUAGAGUGGUUUGAUGGUGUCUUGCACUAAAGCAUCCCCACUCAGUUCCCUGUACAUGGCAGUGGUUUGUUCCUAUCUGCUGAGCAUCAGCAUCUUUCCCCUCCUUUCUCACAGGAAUGAUUAGAUACUGCGUCAUUGAGCAUCAGGCAUUUAGCCCCUCCCCCGGGGUCCACAGUGGUUUGAUCCUACCUCAUGGACUAUUAGGUUCUUUCUGAUUCCCCCUCCAGCGUCACCAUUACUAAUGGUAUGGUCCUUAGCAUCAGGUCUUUUUUUGUCCCCCACUGGUCUUCUGAGCACAUUGACGCAGCCUCAUCUCAUUCCUGAUGCAUCCUGAGCCUCUCAGUGCCUUGCUCCUGCGUAAGCGCUGUAAACUGGACCAAAUGGGUUGAAAAUGGCCAGAAAUUGAUCUUGAUCACUUUAGAUAUUUUAUGAAAAAUAAAAAAAAAUAAUUUCUGUCCAGUUAAAAUCCAUUUGAGCCAGUUUAAGCUAAUUGUGCAGAGCUGGAGGCUGAGGUCGGCAAACCCAGGAAGAUGGCUGAAGACUAUGCUGACUCAAGCCACUCAUGGAGCCAGAUUUCUUGGAUUCCAGAUUCAACUCCUUCUUUGACCCUGGACCUGUGCUGACUGGAAGCCUCGAGAUGAGAUGAGAAAAUCGAGGCUCAGAAAAGUCCCAUGACUUGUCCAAGGCCAUGAAGCUAGUUCACAGAGAGGCACAGAAUCAGCUAUGGAAGCACUUGAGAGAAUACCAAUACCAUUUUGUGGCCUGGAGAGAUCGGCACCCUCACUAUUUUUGUCCCUGCUAGCCAUCAGCCUCUGGCUUCCCUGUUAUCCUGUUGCCCCCACAGAAUGCAGCUACUACGUGGCUUAAGAGCCAGCACCUCCAUGAAGUGGUGAAGGCUCAACAAAGUUGGUCAGAAAAAAAAGUUUCCAUCACUGGCUAAGAAAUAAGUCCUUCACCUUCAUGCUUUUUCCAGGUACAUCUACUUUGAUAAUGUAAGAAGCCACUCCUUGCUCAUGCCUUCAAAGUCUCUCUGCUCUGGUUAUGAGCUUGGCCUUUAAAUGCUAUAUGUUAUAGCUUCUUCUAUUAAAAAAAACAUAUACCUUCUUAUUUUUCCAAACUACAGCUGUCUUUGUUACAUAAUUAUUUUUUCCACUGUCAUGACAGCUUUGAUCAUGAGAGCAGAACAUUCCUUGCUGUUUGGGAUUUAGGAAUCCUUUGAACUCCAUCCCUGUCCAGACAUGCCUAUUUUUGUCACAUUCUAGUUUUGUUUUCCUCACUUUCUGCAUGUAUAGUUACUUUGUCAAGUAAACAAUGUGCCUAAAUGUAGUAUUUCUCCAGCUACAUUUGCUGUCAGUGUGAAUAAAAUCUGUUAUAGUGACCACAGGAUGUUUCCUCUUUCCUCUAUGGCCACUUCUUCUCUUACCACUAAAGAUUUUUCUGAUUGUGUGUCUUAUGUGACCAUAGCAGUUCUUUGGUAUUUGUAUUGUGAUAAUAUCUCAUCAGUCAGUAUGAUCUUGAACUCACUAUCCUCCUAUAGUGCUAGCUAGCAGCUCUUUGGUAUGUGUAUCUCAGCUUUACAGUACCCACAUAGUUAAUAAAUCUCUAUAGCAAUAUGAAUUAAUAGAUUGCUAUCUUGCAUACCCGCUUUUUGGGACAAAAGCAGCUAAAAUCCACUUAUUAACGAAAACCCUAAAAACAAUAUGGUCUGAUUAACUAUAGUACUCAUGCUGCCAUGCAUUAGGUCUCUAUCCUUGUUCCUGCUACACACCUGCUACUUCAGGGUUCCUUUAGAACAGUUCCUUCACAGAGCCAAGUGUCAUUCCAUCCUGGCACCUCCCACAUUUCCAGCUUUAACCAUAGCUUGACAGUAUAUAGAGGAACAAAUAAAGAAUAUGCUAAUUGGUACAAAGUUCUAGGCAAGGACAGCCAAGUAGAUGAGCCCAGUUUGUUCUCUUCCGGUACAGUUUUGCAUUUCUAUCUAUGCCUAUUUAUAUAUAUGUAUUCCAUUUUCAUGCUGUAUGUUUUGGCUUUUUACUCUGUCCAACCUGAGAAGGAGACUACAAGUGUAGCAUGGAGAGCAUAUUAUAAUUAAGGUAAGACAAUGGCCAAUUCAUGAACUAUUUUCUAAAAGGUGAAUAGAUCAAAGAAGCAACCAUUGAAACCCUCCCUAAAACAUCAGGAACUCAUUAGAGUACAAUGAGGCUUUCUAUGGACAAAGCCAAUUUCUGUCUAGGAUAGGGGAUCUGGGGAAGUAUAUCUCUACUCAGUCCCUUCAUCAGACCAAACAUACAAAGAAAACUCAGGCUUGUAACUUAUAAAAAGUCACUUGUGGUUGAAAUGCUCUUUUCAGAUGAAUACAAUGAAUGCUGGGCUUGGUGGUAUACUCCUCUAAUCCUAGCACUAAAAGGACCAAAGCAAUGGGAUUACAGCCCACUCUGGGUUGCAUGAUAAGAACCUGUUUUAAAGUGACUAAUAUGUAUUACUUUUACUCAUACAUGUUUUUCUUUCUUUGGAAUAUUCCUGGGUUUCUGAACUCCAUUUGGCUCAACAUCAUGUCUUCUUAUCAACUGAGGAACACCUUUGGACAUUUGUAUCUGAAUUUUCUUCAGGCUUGGUCUUUGGUACUCCUUAUGUAGACAUCUACACCAUAAUUACCGGUGUUUUUAACCAGAAAAACCACCCAUUAACUCUAUCAAGAGGAACAUCCAGUCAACAUGCCACCACAUCCCAAAAACCUGCCGAGGAACUUGUCACAAGCUCAAGUCCCAAGAUCAUCUGGAUAUCAAGAAUCACUUCUUUAUAUUUCCACAAAUGCUAGUUUGACUGUGCUUGUAGUCCAUGAUACUUGGGAGGCUGAGGUGGGAGAAUUACUUGAGUCAAAUAACCGAGUUUACCAUCCUGAACAACAUAGUGUGACCCCAUCUCAAAUCAAACCCAACCUAACACCAGAAAAGAAAUUCACAGACUUUCUAGGGAGCUUGCUGAGGAAAAACGAUUGUAUUGUUAAAUGUUAAGGGAUACUGCCUUUACUAUUUUAUAUUGAUGGUAUUUUACUAUUUAAGAUACAAAAAUAUUUAUUAUGAAUAACACACAUUCUUGAGUGAACUUUUGGAAUGGGUGAGAUACUUAUAUGUAUAUAUGUGAUGAGUUAAUAUUUGUGGCAUUUUAGACUGUGUUAUUUGUAGUAUACUGAUGCUGCAUUGUACAUGUUUUCAUUAAGUUAUGUAAGAUUGGUAGAUUGGAAUUUACAAAUACAAUGGUGAAUUAAAAGCAACUUCUGAGCCAGUAGAUUAAAAAUAUUAUGACAAAAACCUAAUAAAUGCUACUUAUAUACAAGAAAGACUAAAAAACAUAAAAGGCAAAGUCUGAAUUUCUCUACAAUGCAGGAGCCAGGUCCACCAGAAAUCAGUUGUGGUAUUCCUCCCAGUGACUGAUAUCAGCUGUAGCUGUCAGCCAUGUGUUCUCAUACCAUGAAAGCCCAGAAGAGAAGGCCUGGGCUAUGUAAAUACAACCAGAUGGAUAAAAUUACAUAUGUAAAAUAGGCUGUGAGUAGUAAAAAUGUGAUUUGAAAAUCUGAAGAUCAUUACACAUUAAUAAAGGGCAUAAUUUAUCAAGAAGAUUAGAAUAUUAACAUUCAUACACCAACUAUCAGGUACAAUCAGUGGGAGAUUUCAAUACUCUCAUCUUACGGCACAUAUUUCAAACUAAAAACCAACAAACAGUGUAAGUAAAUAAAACCAUAGAGCAUUUUUUCACUAGUUGAUGUAGCAACUACAUUUUCCCUCCCUCCUCUUCUUCUGCUCCCUCCCCUACCCCUUUCCCAUCCACUUCUCCUCAGUCUCCACUCAGAUGGCUUAAGGCUUCCCAUGGGAGUCAUCAAAGCAUGACACAUCAAGCUGAGGCAGGACUAAGCUCCUCCCUGCUCCAUCAAGGCUGAACAAGGCAUCCCACCAUAGGGAAUAGGUUCCAAAGAGACAGGUCCUGGUCCCUCUGCUAGGAGUCCCACAAAAGAUCAACUGUCACCCAGAUGCAGAGGCCUAAGUCAUUCCCAUGCCACAUCCCUAGCUGUGAGAUCCAGAGUCUGUGAGAUCCCACAAACUCAGGUCAGCUGUCUCAAGCAAUUGCAUUUAACAAAUACAUACAACGUAUUCCAUCCAACUAAUAGGGAAUGCACAUUAUUCUCAGUAGUACAUGGGGCUUUCUCUAAAACUAUUCACAUUAUAGGACACAAAGCAAAAAAAAUAGAAUUACUUACAUUUUAUCAGAUAAUAGAAGAAUAAAAGCCACACAAAUACUUAGUACUAAGCAAUACAUUUUUGAAUGAACAGCCGAUUAUUGAGGGAAUCGAGGAAAGUUUUUAAAAUCCUACAAACAAAAUUUUAAAGUUAUGUAAUCUAGCAAUUCCAUUUGUGGGUAUUCACUUAGGAAGAUUGAAAAGAGGUUAUACAAGAGAAAUCUGCAUAUCUUUAGUCAUAGAAGCUUUCAUUCACAAUAAUAAGAAAGUAGAAAUAACUCAAGCAUCAUCAGUGGAAGAAUAGAUAAAUGUGGCAUAAAUAUGUAAUAGAAUCUUAUUUAUACUUUCAAAGAGAGGACCAACUUGUAGAUGCUACAAUGUAGAUAAACUUUGUGGAUAAACUUUGCAGAUACUGUGGUAAAGGAAAUAAGCCAACCACAAAAAGUACAAAUGCAACAUUAUUUCAGUAAGAUGAAUGUUCAAAGUAGUCAAAUUCAUAGAAAAAGUAUUAAUAUAAUGGUGAUUACCAGGGUCAUUGUCUUAGUCAGUGUUCUAUUGCUGUGAAGACACACAAUGACCAUGGAAACUCUCAUAAAGAAAAGCAUUCAACUAGGGCUGGCUUGCAGUUUCAGAGGUUUAGUCCAUUAGCAUAAUGGUGGGAAAUAUGCCAAGAAGCAUGCAGCAUGACAGCAUGAAGGCAGAUAUGGUGCUGAAGAGAUGCUGAGGGUUCUACAUCUGGAUCCAAAGGCAGCAGUAAGAGAGACAGAGACACUAGGCCUGGCUUGGGCCCUUGAAAACCUAAAGCCCAGCCCCCAGUGACAGGCUUCCUCCAACAAGGCCACACCUACUCCAACAAGAAAUGACUAUUCAUUCAACAUAGGGCAUUACAUAUAAACUAAAAGCCUGACUACACCUAAGUUCAGCUUGGUGUAUCAGUGGAUUUAUUGGAGUUACUUAUUGGAACAUGGGUGAUUGGGCAGCUACAUUAUCAAAAAAGUCCAAUCCCAAACUGAGUGUCAACUGCAUGGGUGAUUUUGGCAGCCGAUUCACUGAACAAUCAACUCCAGCAUGUGUGACCACUCAAGAUGCUGCAUAACUAGAGUUUUGCCUUUAGUCAUCUUUCGCCUUCCUAUAUUCUUUACAACUUCCCAAGACCACAUAUAGGUGAGAGGUUAAGAGGUUAAGGUGUGGUGACCUUCCUUCUAAGAGUUAAUGUUAACAAUCCAAUUAUAACUGUUAUUAAUGUAGCUAUUAAUGUGUUAUUUUGCUUAUUUUAUUACUAUGGAAUUACUGUGGAAUUAAGGCAUUCUAUAGGUCAUCACAACAAUCUAGGCUUCAUGAUGGUGAUGGUCAUGAUAUGCUUGUAGAAAACAGUUAUACCAUACACAUGUCCUGUAUUGAGAUAUAAUUGACAAAUAAAAGUUGUAUAUAUUUACUGUAUUGUUCAAUUUUUUCCAUAAUACUAGGGUUGGAACCCAGGGCUUCACCAAUGCUAAGCAAUUAGCCUGCCACUGAAUCACAGCCAGACCUU